rfam:Canis lupus familiaris chromosome X, whole genome shotgun sequence.
GCUCAGUGGUUUAGCACCUGCCUUUGGCUCAGGGCGUGAUCCCUGGAGUGUAAAGGUGAACCCACUGGGGCUGGCUGGGGGGAAGGAGGAAACUUGCUCCAGAAGGAACAGUCUGAGGGAU